rnacentral:misc_RNA from 1 species
AGGCCUCUACGUCCUUGACAAACAAGUGCCAAUAUCUCUUGUAUGUUCCAGUAUUUUAACUCUUAUUCAAGUCCAUUGUCAAUUGGGACAUUCGUCUUUAUCUGUCUUGAAGAAGUUAUGUCCACAGUUUCAGUCUUUGUCAGUUUUAAAUUGUGUCGUGUCAGUUUGCCAAACAUCAUCGUUUGUCUAAAGUGUCUCGAGUCAAUAAACAGGCUUCUUCCCC